CAGAAAUAAGACAAUAUGUCGGAAAACUAUAUUGAAGGCGUGGACGAAGAUAAACUUUUCCCAGCAAAAAACGACAUGAAAUGCCAAAUCCGAAGAAGAAAGAUGAGAAAGAAAAGAUAACUUCGGCAAUGGCCUGUGACAUUCUUUACAAGUGUUUCCUUGCUAUCACUAUUCGAUUCUUCAAACUUUUGAUACCGUUCAAAAUAGUUAUCCAAAAAAACAUGGCAUACAGCAAAAAAAACAGCUCAUACUUCUUAUAGAGUGACUUCUCACAAUCUUUACAAGUCUUCGGACAUCAGUUUCCUUUUUCUCUUUGGCUGCAAUGGCGUCUGGUUAUUGCAUGUUCUUCGAUUAUGCCCAAGCGCCCCACAUCCCCCACAUUUUGUUACUUGUCUUCUUUCUCUUCUUGAUGGUACUCUCUUUUCUUCAGACAUUUCGGAUUUUCUUUUUGGUAUAGGAGGCAACACAAUCCUUGAACCGAUAUCAUCUGGUACAAUCCAAUCAUCACGGUUCCCAAGUGGAAAAAUGGUCCCCUUGUAUGCUUCAAUGUAAGACUCCUUUGUGUAGUAUUUGGAGCAAUAGUCGUAGGAGUUGAGGUUUCUUUCUGUAAUAACUGCCAGUGCAUGUACGCAUGGGAUCUCAUCCAUCUGAAAUCUGUUGCACGAGCAAGUCCGUUCUUGAAUGUUCACUAAAUGGGAGGUUGUGGCAUCACUAACAUCGUAAAUCGCUUCACUUGAUGCAGAAACC
rnacentral:lncRNA from 1 species